rnacentral:rRNA from 1 species
UACAGAGGGUGCAAGCGUUAAUCGGAAUUACUGGGCGUAAAGCGUGCGUAGUCGGUUAUUUAAGUCGGGUGUGAAAGCCCCGGGCUCAACCUGGGAAUUGCAUUCGAUACUGGAUAGCUAGAGUUCGGCAGAGGGAAGCGGAAUUUCCGGUGUAGCGGUGAAAUGCGUAGAUAUCGGAAGGAACAUCAGUGACGAAAGCGGCUUCCUGGACCAGAACUGACGAUCAGGCACGAAAGCGUGGGGAGCAAACAGG